rnacentral:rRNA from 1 species
AUUGAACGCUGGCGGCAGGCCUAACACAUGCAAGUCGAGCGGAGCGGCGGACGGGGGCGUAACGCCUAGGUAUCUGCCUGGUCGUGGGGGAUAACGCUCGGAAACGGGCGCUAAUACCGCCAACUAUUAGACGCGACUAGGUCGGAUUAGCUAGUUGGUGGGGUAAAGGCUUACCAAGGCGACGAUCCGUAACUGGUCUGAGAGGAUGAUCAGUCACACUGGAACUGAGACACGGUCCAGACUCCUACGGGAGGCAGCAGUGGGGAAUAUUGGACAAUGGGCGAAAGCCUGAUCCAGCCAUGCCGCGUGUGUGAAGAAGGUCUUCGGAUUGUAAAGCACUUUAAGUUGGGAGGCGUUACCAACAGAAUAAGCACCGGCUAACUUCGUGCCAGCAGCCGCGGUAAUAC